rnacentral:tRNA from 1 species
GCCUGGGUGACUCAGUCGGCUGAGCGCCUGACUUUGGCUCAGGUCAUGAUCUCACAGCUCUGUGGGUUCGAGCCCCACAUCGGGCU